rnacentral:rRNA from 1 species
GCCAGACUCCUACGGGAGGCAGCAGUGGGGGAUAUUGCACAAUGGGGGGAACCCUGAUGCAGCGACGCCGCGUGGGUGAAGGAGCGUUUCGGCGCGUAAAGCCCUCUCGGCAGGGAAGAAGGAGGACGGUACCUGACUAAGAAGCCCCGGCUAACUACGUGCCAGCAGCCGCGGUAAUACGUAGGGGGCAAGCGUUAUCCGGAUUUACUGGGUGUAAAGGGGGCGCAGACGGCAGCGCAAGCCAGGAGUGAAAGCCCGGGGCCCAACCCCGGGACUGCUCUUGGAACUGCGCGGCUGGAGUGCAGGAGGGGCAGGCGGAAUUCCUGGUGUAGCGGUGAAAUGCGUAGAUAUCAGGAGGAACACCGGUGGCGAAGGCGGCCUGCUGGACUGCGACUGACGUUGAGGCCCGAAAGCGGGGGGAGCAAACAGGAUUAGAUACCCGCGUAC